rnacentral:rRNA from 1 species
AAGCGAAUAGUGAAUCAGGUGGCUCAACCACACUGGCUAUUAUUCGAACUCACAAACUCGAGAGUAGCAGAGGUAACUGGAAUUUCUUGUGUAGGAGUGAAAUCCGUAGAUAUAAGAAGGAACACCAAUGGCGUAAGCAGGUUACUGGGCUAUUUCUGACGCUAAGGCACGAAAGCGUGGGGAGCGAACCGGAUUAGAUACCCGGGUAGUCCACGCCGUAAACGAUGGAUACUA